UGUGGCCCCCGUUCUGCCCUGCCCCCUGGCGGCACAGCCCUCGGUCCGGGCCCUGGGCAGGGAGCAGGCCGCCACCCUGCGCUGACCGUGCUGCCGGGUGCUGUCUGUCUGUUAUAUAGCCCUGUCAGUCUGCUAUAAGGCCGGACCGGGGGCGGACAACGGCGAGGAAGGGGAAAUAGAAGAGGAAAUGGAGAAUCCGGAAAUGGUGGACCUGCCUGAGAAACUAAAGCACCAGCUGCGGCAUCGGGAGCUGUUCCUCUCCCGGCAGCUGGAGUCUCUGCCCGCCACGCACAUCAGGUAGCCCCCAGCAGCUCCCGCCCUGGGCCCCUCGGGCUGCCCUCGCCUUUCCAGCCUGCCCGUCCUUCUCUUCCAGGGGCAAGUGCAGCGUCACCCUGCUCAACGAGACCGAGUCGCUCAAGUCCUACCUGGAGCGGGAGGAUUUCUUCUUCUAUUCUCUAGUCUACGACCCACAGCAGAAGACCCUGCUGGCAGAUAAAGGAGAGAUUCGAGUAGGAAACCGGUACCAGGCAGACAUCACCGACUUGUUAAAAGAAGGCGAGGAGGAUGGCCGAGACCAGUCCAAGCUGGAGACCAAGGUGUGGGAGGCGCACAACCCACUCACAGACAAGCAGAUCGACCAGUUCCUGGUGGUGGCCCGCUCUGUGGGCACCUUCGCACGGGCCCUGGACUGCAGCAGCUCCGUCCGACAGCCCAGCCUGCACAUGAGCGCCGCAGCUGCCUCCCGAGACAUCACCCUCUUCCACGCCAUGGACACUCUCCAUAAGAACAUCUACGACAUCUCCAAGGCCAUCUCGGCGCUGGUGCCACAGGGCGGGCCCGUGCUCUGCAGGGACGAGAUGGAGGAAUGGUCUGCAUCAGAGGCCAACCUUUUCGAGGAAGCCCUAGAAAAAUAUGGGAAGGAUUUCACGGACAUUCAGCAAGAUUUU
rnacentral:sRNA from 1 species